rnacentral:rRNA from 1 species
CGCCCAGACUCCUACGGGAGGCAGCAGUGGGGGAUAUUGCACAAUGGGCGCAGGCCUGAUGCAGCGACGCCGCGUGAGCGAAGAAGUAUUUCGGUAUGUAAAGCUCUAUCAGCAGGGAAGAAAAUGACGGUACCUGACUAAGAAGCUCCGGCUAAAUACGUGCCAGCAGCCGCGGUAAUACGUAUGGAGCAAGCGUUAUCCGGAUUUACUGGGUGUAAAGGGAGCGUAGACGGCAGCGCAAGUCUGAAGUGAAAUGCCGGGGCUUAACCCCGGAACUGCUUUGGAAACUGAGCAGCUAGAGUGCAGGAGAGGUAAGUGGAAUUCCUAGUGUAGCGGUGAAAUGCGUAGAUAUUAGGAGGAACACCGGUGGCGAAGGCGGCCUGCUGGACUGCAACUGACGUUGAGGCCCGAAAGCGUGGGGAGCAAACAGGAUUAGAUACCCCAGUA